GUGAAGCCUCUUCCACCAUGAUUGCUGUGGGUAAACAAUUCAACAGCCUGUAGAGGGAAAAUGCUGAAUCACUGAGUGAGUUUUCUAAGCAAAGGAGUCAUCGAACAAUUGCAUUUUAACACGGAGCUCCACCAGGACCUUGCACACGACUGACCUAAUAGAAGUCAGGUCUCUCUCGCAAAAGUCACCUUAAGAUAAAAUGCAAGGACAUUUCUUUACAUCACAGGGUCCUGCCCACAAAGAGCUUACAAGUGAAUCAGUCAAGAUUCAGCUGCAGCAAUCAGCUAUCUACUCAAGGUGAAGAGACAUAGAAGAAUCCUCUACUGAUCACCAGGAAAAAGGACCAAGAUGUUUCUCAAUGAAUUAAGGGAAAUAACAACAGGAUUCGAGCUCAUUUAAGCAGAAGGCAAAUAUUUGGCUUUAACUAUAGAAUUCGGCAUCAUAAAGCAUGAAAUAUAUUAUUUUGACACAGAUCCCCUCCUACCCCUACCCCCAAAACCCUGAGUAUUUGCAUUACCAGUUGGUCACACUGACACACAAGAACUUCAACAUGGACUCUACUGAGCAUUUCUUUACAAGCAGAACUACAUCAUCAUGAGUCUGCCAGAAUGAAUGAUCAGUAAAUGUACCAAGUAGUUGAACAAACUAAGCUUUCAUUUGUGGUUAUUUGAUAAAGUCCACCUAAAACUUAGAGAAUGAUGGCUAAAUAUAGUGAUUUUUUUUUCAGCCUAAUUAAUGCUAGGCUGUUCUUUCUGACAACAAUCCACCAAAAAGUUAAACUGCUUCUUAAUAAAGCA